GGGUGCGUUCACACCGGCACUAAAGCAUUGGAUCCCAUCAGAACUCCGAAGUUAAGCAUGCAUGGCCGAGAGUAGUACUAGGAUGGGUGACCCCCUGGAUGUUCUCAUGUUGCACUCU
rnacentral:rRNA from 15 species